UGGCGGACGGGUGAGUAAUGUCUGGGAAACUGCCCGAUGGAGGGGGAUAACUACUGGAAACGGUAGCUAAUACCGCAUAACGUCGCAAGACCAAAGAGGGGGACCUUCGGGCCUCUUGCCAUCGGAUGUGCCCAGAUGGGAUUAGCUAGUAGGUGGGGUAACGGCUCACCUAGGCGACGAUCCCUAGCUGAUCUGAGAGGAUGACCAGCCACACUGGAACUGAGACACGGUCCAG
rnacentral:rRNA from 1 species